UACAGGGGGGGCAAGCGUUGUUCGGAAUUACUGGGCGUAAAGGGCUCGUAGGUGGCCGACUAAGUCAGACGUGAAAUCCCUCAGCUUAACUGGGGAACUGCGUCUGAUACUGGAUGGCUUGAGUUUGGGAGAGGGAUGCGGAAUUCCAGGUGUAGCGGUGAAAUGCGUAGAUAUCUGGAGGAACACCGGUGGCGAAGGCGGCAUCCUGGACCAACACUGACACUGAUGAGCGAAAGCCAGGGGAGCAAACGGG
rnacentral:rRNA from 1 species